GACGAACGCUGGCGGCGUGCUUAACACAUGCAAGUCGAACGGAAAGGCCCUGCUUUUGUGGGGUGCUCGAGUGGCGAACGGGUGAGUAACACGUGAGUAACCUGCCCUUGACUUUGGGAUAACUUCAGGAAACUGGGGCUAAUACUGGAUAGGAGCUCCUGCUGCAUGGUGGGGGUUGGAAAGUUUCGGCGGUUGGGGAUGGACUCGCGGCUUAUCAGCUUGUUGGUGGGGUAGUGGCUUACCAAGGCUUUGACGGGUAGCCGGCCUGAGAGGGUGACCGGCCACAUUGGGACUAAGGGACGGCGCAGACUCCUACGGUAGGCAGCAGGGGGGAGUAUUGCACAAUGAGCGGAAGCCUGAGGCAGCAGCGCCGCGUGCGGGAUGACGGCCUUCGGGUUGUGAACCGCUUUCGCCGGAGACGAAGCGGGAGUGACGGUAAUUGGUAAAGAAGCACCGGCUAACUACGUG
rnacentral:rRNA from 1 species